GCCAGCUUGGUGGCACAAGGCUGUAGUCCCAGCUACUCAGGAGACUGAAGCGAGAGGAACACUUGAGCCUAGCAGUUAAUGUUGAUCAAGUAUCUGCGCUGUUUGGCAUCAAUAUGGUGAACUCCUGAGAGUGGGGGACACCAGGUUGCCUGAGAAUGGGUGAAUCAGCUCAGGUUGGAAAAGGAGCAGGUCAAAACUCUCAUGCUGAUUAGAAAUGGGAUCAGGCCUGUGAAUAGCCACUCCACUCCAGCCUGGGCAACAUCGGCAGACCUUGUCUCUA
rnacentral:SRP_RNA from 1 species